UACGUAGGGGGCAAGCGUUGUCCGGAUUUAUUGGGCGUAAAGAGCGUGUAGGCGGUUAUGUAGGUCCGCUGUGAAAACUGGAGGCUUAACCUCCAGACGUCGGUGGAAACCACAUGGCUAGAGUCCGGAAGAGGAGAGUGGAAUUCCUGGUGUAGCGGUGAAAUGCGCAGAUAUCAGGAAGAACACCCGUGGCGAAGGCGGCUCUCUGGGACGGUACUGACGCUGAGACGCGAAAGCGUGGGGAGCGAACAGG
rnacentral:rRNA from 1 species